rnacentral:rRNA from 1 species
GAUGAACGCUGGCGGCGUGCCUAAUACAUGCAAGUCGAGCGAACAGACGAGGAGCUUGCUCCUCUGACGUUAGCGGCGGACGGGUGAGUAACACGUGGAUAACCUACCUAUAAGACUGGGAUAACUUCGGGAAACCGGAGCUAAUACCGGAUAAUAUAUUGAACCGCAUGGUUCAAUAGUGAAAGACGGUUUUGCUGUCACUUAUAGAUGGAUCCGCGCCGCAUUAGCUAGUUGGUAAGGUAACGGCUUACCAAGGCAACGAUGCGUAGCCGACCUGAGAGGGUGGUAGGCCACACUAGAACUGAGACACGGUCCAGACUCCUGCGGGAGGCAGCAGUAGGGAAUCUGCCGCAAAGGGCGAAAGCCUGACGGAGCAACGUCGCGUGAGUGAUGAAGGUCUUCGGAUCGUAAAACUCUGUUAUUAGGGAAGAACAAAUGUGUAAGUAACUGUGCACGUCUUGACGGUACCUAGUCAGAAAGCCACGGCUAACUACGUG